UACGGAGGAUGCAAGCGUUAUCCGGAUUUAUUGGGUUUAAAGGGUGCGCAGGUUGUUUGAUAAGUCAGUGGUGAAAGUCUGUCGCUUAACGGUAGGAUUGCCAUUGAUACUGUUAGACUUGAAUAUGGAUGAGGUAGGCGGAAUGUGUAGUGUAGCGGUGAAAUGCAUAGAUAUUACACAGAACACCGAUUGCAAAGGCAGCUUACUAAUCCAUCAUUGACGCUGAGGCUCGAAAGCGUGGGGAGGCAAACA
rnacentral:rRNA from 1 species